rnacentral:rRNA from 1 species
UUGGGAAUCUUGGACAAUGGGGGAAACCCUGAUCCAGCCAUGCCGCGUGAGUGAUGAAGGCCUUCGGGUUGUAAAACUCUUUCGACGGGGACGAUAAUGACGGUACCCGUAGAAGAAGCUCCGGCUAACUUCGUGCCAGCAGCCGCGGUAAUACGAAGGGGGCUAGCGUUGUUCGGAAUUACUGGGCGUAAAGCGCGCGCAGGCGGUUCUUCAAGUCAGUGGUGAAAGCCCGGAGCUCAACUCCGGAACUGCCAUUGAAACUGUAGAACUUGAGGACGAGAGAGGUGAGUGGAAUUCCCAGUGUAGAGGUGAAAUUCGUAGAUAUUGGGAAGAACACCGGUGGCGAAGGCGGCUCACUGGCUCGUUUCUGACGCUCAGGCGCGAUAGCGUGGGGAUCAAACAGGAUUAGAUACCCUGGUAGUCCACGCCGUAAACGAUGGAUGCUAGCCGUUGGAUAGCUUGCUAUUCAGUGGCGCAGCUAACGCAUUAAGCAUCCCGCCUGGGGAGUACGGCCGCAAGGUUGA